rnacentral:rRNA from 1 species
AACGUAGGUUCCGAGCGUUAUCCGGAUUUACUGGGCGUAAAGCGCGUUCAGGCGGUUUGGCAAGUCGGGCCUGAAAUCUCUCGGCUCAACCGGGAGAGGUUGUCCGAUACUUCCAGACUUGAGGGCAGUAGAGGGUGGUGGAAUUCCGGGUGUAGUGGUGAAAUGCGUAGAUAUCCGGAGGAACACCAGUGGCGAAAGCGGCCACCUGGACUGCACCUGACGCUGACACGCGAAAGCUAGGGGAGCGAACGGG